rnacentral:tRNA from 1 species
GCCGUGGUCGCAUAACCAGGUAGUGCGCUCGAUUUAGAAUCGAGUGAGCCAUCCGAAGCUCUUGCGGGUUCGAAUCCCGUCCACGGCG